rnacentral:rRNA from 1 species
AACGAACGCUGGCGGCAUGCCUAACACAUGCAAGUCGAACGAUACCUCCGGGUCUAGUUGCGCACGGGUGCUUAACGCGUGGGAACCAGCCCUUAGGUUCGGAAUAACUCACUGAAAUUUGAGCUAAUACCGGAUGAUGUCUUCGGAGCAAAGAUUUAUCGCCUUUAGAUGGGCCCGCGUUGGUUUAGCUAGUUGGUGGGGUACAGGCCUACCAAGGCGACGAUGCAUAGCUGGUCUGAGAGGAUGAUCAGCCACACUGGAACUGAGACACGGCCCAGACUGGUACGGGAGAGAGGAGUAGAGAGUAUUAGAGGAUGAACGCAAGUCUAGUCCAGCAGUGCCGGGUGAGUGAUGAAGGCGUUAGGGUUGUAAAGCUCUUUUACCCGAGAUGAUAAUGACAGUAUCGGGAGAAUAAGCACCGGCUAACUACGUG